rnacentral:tRNA from 1 species
GCUUCUGUAGCACAGUUGGUAGUGCAGCUGAUUCGUAAUCAGCAGGCCGCAGGUUCAAGUCCUGUCAGGAGCACCA